GGUGGAAGGUGGUCUCUGAGUUGGAAGAGAAGGCGCUGAGGCCUCCAGGAGCAGGUUUCGAAGAAAGUCAGUAUAUUCAUAUUUCAUGCCAUGACACACAAAGGAUCAGCUGACCUGGGUAGGUUGAAGUCUUGUGACUGCCUGGUAGGUUCUACUCCCCAUCUCACAAACAGAAGGUGAUAAACAGUGGCACAGAAACUGGCUCAAUUCUGCUACCAGCUAAAAUGUGUUCUAGAUCGCCGAGACUGCAUCUGCCCUGCAGGCACAGAGCCUCACCCCUCGCCACUCCGCUGCCCGUCCACACCCGCCACCAGCUCACCAUGGAUAAUGAUAUCAUCACGUUCAUCAUCAAAAAUGGCUCUGGCAUGUGCAAGGCCAGCUUGGCGGGCAACAAUGCUCUCCGAGCUGUCUUCCCCUCCAUCGUGGGGUGCCCAGGCAUUAGCGUGUGAUGGUGGGCAUGGGGCAGAAGGACUCCUAAAUGGGCGGCAAGGGCCCAGGGCUUCCUCGGCUUCCUGACCCUGAAGUACCCCAUCGAGCACAGCAACAUCACCAACUGGGAGGACAUGGAGAAGAUCUGGCAUCACACCUUCUACAAUGAGCUGCGUGUGGCUCCUGAGGAGCACCCCGUACUGAUGACUGAGGACCCCUGAACCCCAAAGCCAACCUUGAAAAGUUGGACCAUGUUUGAGACCUUCAACACCCCAGCCAUGUAUGUGGCCAUCCAGGCUGUGCUGUCCUUGUACGCCUCUGGCCAUGCCACUGGCAUCCUGAUGGAUUCCGGUGACAGGGUCACCCACACUGUGCCCAUCCAUGAAGGGUAGGCCCUCCCCCAUGCCAACCUACAUUUGCACCUGGCUGGCUGGGACCUGACUGACUACCUCAUGAAUAUCCUCACGGAGCGUGGCUACAGCUUCACCUACAUGGCCAACUGGGAAAUUGUGCAUGACAUCAAGGAGAAGCUGGGCUGUGUCGCCCUGGACUUUUGAGCAGGAGAUGACGAUGGCAGCCUCCAGCUCCUCCCUGGAGAAGAGCUAGGAGCUGCCCGGCAGCCAGGUCAUCACCAUCAGCAACGAGCGGCUCCACUGCCCCGAGGCACUCUUCCAGCCUUCCUUCCUGGGUGUGGAAUCCUGUGGCAUGCAUGAAACUACCUUCAACUCCACCAGGAAGUGUGAUGUGGACAUCCACAAAGACCUGUAUGCCAACACAGUACUGUCUAGCGGUGGCACCACCAUGUGCCCUGGCAUUGCCGACAGGAUGCAGAAGGAGAUCACCACCCCUGCGCCCAGCACGAUGAAGAUCAAGAUCAUUGCUCCUCUGAAGCACAAGUACUCCAUGUGGAUCGGCGGCUCCAUCCUGGCCUCGGUGUGCACCUUCCACCAGAUGUGGAUCAGCAAGCAGGAGUAUGACUAGUCCAGUCCCUCCAUUGUCCACCGCAAACGCCUCUAGGCAGAUGUGACUUACUUGCGUUACACCCUUUCCUGACAAACUGGAGCGGAAAACAAGAUGAGAUUGGCACAGCUUUGGUUUUUUUUGGGGGGGGGGGUGGGUUUUUUUUUUUUUUUUUUUUUUUUUUUUUUUUUUUUUUUUUUUUUUUUUUUUUUUUUUUUUUUUUUUUUUUUUUUUUGGCUUGACUCAGGAUUUAAAAACUGGAACGGUGAAGGUGACAGCAGUCGGUUGGAGCGAGCAUCCCCCAAAGUUCUACAAUGUGGCCAAGGACUUUGAUUGUACAUUGUUCUUUUUUUUAAUGAUCAUUC